AGCGAACGCUGGCGGCAGGCCUAACACAUGCAAGUCGAACGGACCCUUCGGGGUUAGUGGCGGACGGGUGAGUAACACGUGGGAACGUGCCCUUUGGUUCGGAACAACUCAGGGAAACUUGAGCUAAUACCGAAUGUGCCCUUCGGGGGAAAGAUUUAUCGCCAUUGGAGCGGCCCGCGUCUGAUUAGCUAGUUGGUGGGGUAAUGGCCUACCAAGGCGACGAUCAGUAGCUGGUCUGAGAGGAUGAUCAGCCACAUUGGGACUGAGACACGGCCCAAACUCCUACGGGAGGCAGCAGUGGGGAAUCUUGCGCAAUGGGCGAAAGCCUGACGCAGCCAUGCCGCGUGAAUGAUGAAGGUCUUAGGAUUGUAAAAUUCUUUCACCGGGGACGAUAAUGACGGUACCCGGGGAAGAAGCCCCGGCUAACUUCGUGCCAGCCGCCGCAGUAAUAC
rnacentral:rRNA from 1 species